UUUCCGUAGGUGAACCUGCGGAAGGAUCAUUCACAAUAAGUGUUUUAUGGCACUUUUUUAAAUCCAUAUCCACCUUGUGUGCAAUGUCAGGGUAGAUUUUUCUCUCGUGAGGAUCAGACCCAAACAACAACUAUAUCUCAACUCUUUGUCUGAAAAAUAUUAUGAAUAAAACAAUUCAAAAUACAACUUUCAACAACGGAUCUCUUGGCUCUC
rnacentral:misc_RNA from 1 species